GACGAACCGAGCGAACGUUGUUCGGAAUCACUGGGCGUAAAGCGCACGUAGGCGGAUUUCUAAGUCGGGGGUGAAAUCCUGGAGCUCAACUCCAGAACUGCCUUCGAUACUGGAAGUCUUGAGUCCGGGAGAGGUGAGUGGAACUGCGAGUGUAGAGGUGAAAUUCGUAGAUAUUCGCAAGAACACCAGUGGCGAAGGCGGCUCACUGGCCCGAUACUGACGCUGAGGCACGAAAGCGUGGGGAGCAAACAGG
rnacentral:rRNA from 1 species